UUCCCCACUCUGAGCACACAGC
rnacentral:miRNA from 1 species